rnacentral:rRNA from 1 species
GAUGAACGCUGGCGGCGUGCCUAAUACAUGCAAGUCGAGCGAACGGACGAGAAGCUUGCUUCUCUGAUGUUAGCGGCGGACGGGUGAGUAACACGUGGAUAACCUACCUAUAAGACUGGGAUAACUUCGGGAAACCGGAGCUAAUACCGGAUAAUAUUUUGAACCGCAUGGUUCAAAAGUGAAAGACGGUCUUGCUGUCACUUAUAGAUGGAUCCGCGCUGCAUUAGCUAGUUGGUAAGGUAACGGCUUACCAAGGCAACGAUGCAUAGCCGACCUGAGAGGGUGAUCGGCCACACUGGAACUGAGACACGGUCCAGACUCCUACGGGAGGCAGCAGUAGGGAAUCUUCCGCAAUGGGCGAAAGCCUGACGGAGCAACGCCGCGUGAGUGAUGAAGGUCUUCGGAUCGUAAAACUCUGUUAUUAGGGAAGAACAUAUGUGUAAGUAACUGUGCACAUCUUGACGGUACCUAAUCAGAAAGCCACGGCUAACUACGUGCCAGCAGCCGCGGUAAUGCGUAGGUGGCAAGCGUUAUCCGGAAUUAUUGGGCGUAAAGCGCGCGUAGGCGGUUUUUUAAGUCUGAUGUGAAAGCCCACGGCUCAACCGUGGAGGGUCAUUGGAAACUGGAAAACUUGAGUGCAGAAGAGGAAAGUGGAAUUCCAUGUGUAGCGGUGAAAUGCGCAGAGAUAUGGAGGAACACCAGUGGCGAAGGCGACUUUCUGGUCUGUAACUGACGCUGAUGUGCGAAAGCGUGGGGAUCAAACAGGAUUAGAUACCCUGGUAGUCCACGCCGUAAACGAUGAGUGCUAAGUGUUAGGGGGUUUCCGCCCCUUAGUGCUGCAGCUAACGCAUUAAGCACUCCGCCUGGGGAGUACGACCGCAAGGUUGAAACUCAAAGGAAUUGACGGGGACCCGCACAAGCGGUGGAGCAUGUGGUUUAAUUCGAAGCAACGCGAAGAACCUUACCAAAUCUUGACAUCCUUUGACAACUCUAGAGAUAGAGCCUUCCCCUUCGGGGGACAAAGUGACAGGUGGUGCAUGGUUGUCGUCAGCUCGUGUCGUGAGAUGUUGGGUUAAGUCCCGCAACGAGCGCAACCCUUAAGCUUAGUUGCCAUCAUUAAGUUGGGCACUCUAAGUUGACUGCCGGUGACAAACCGGAGGAAGGUGGGGAUGACGUCAAAUCAUCAUGCCCCUUAUGAUUUGGGCUACACACGUGCUACAAUGGACAAUACAAAGGGCAGCGAAACCGCGAGGUCAAGCAAAUCCCAUAAAGUUGUUCUCAGUUCGGAUUGUAGUCUGCAACUCGACUACAUGAAGCUGGAAUCGCUAGUAAUCGUAGAUCAGCAUGCUACGGUGAAUACGUUCCCGGGUCU